rnacentral:rRNA from 1 species
GAAUAUUGGACAAUGGGCGAAAGCCUGAUCCAGCAAUGCCGCGUGAGGGAUGAAGGCCUUAGGGUUGUAAAGCUCUUUUACCCGGGAGGAUAAUGACAGUACCGGGAGAAUAAGCCCCGGCUAACUCCGUGCCAGCAGCCGCGGUAAUCCGGAGGGGGCUAGCGUUGUUCGGAAUUACUGGGCGUAAAGCGCACGUAGGCGGCUUUGUAAGUUAGAGGUGAAAGCCCAGGGCUCAACCCUGGAAUUGCCUUUAAGACUGCAUCGCUUGAACAUCGGAGAGGUAAGUGGAAUUCCGAGUGUAGAGGUGAAAUUCGUAGAUAUUCGGAAGAACACCAGUGGCGAAGGCGACUUACUGGACGAUUGUUGACGCUGAGGUGCGAAAGCGUGGGGAGCAAACAGG